GUCCACGCCCUAAACGAUGUCAACUGGUUGUUGGGUCUUCACUGACUCAGUAACGAAGCUAACGCGUGAAGUUGACCGCCUGGGAGUACGGCCGCAAGGUUGAAACUCAAAGGAAUUGACGGGACCCGCACAAGCGGUGGAUGAUGUGGUUUAAUUCGAUGCAACGCGAAACCUUACCCACCUUUGACAUGUACGGAAUCCUUUAGAGAUAGAGGAGUGCUCGAAAGAGAGCCGUAACACAGGUGCUGCAUGGCUGUCGU
rnacentral:rRNA from 1 species